GCGGCGUGCCUAACACAUGCAAGUCGAACGCGAAAGCCCCGCAAGGGGUAAGUAGAGUGGCAAACGGGUGAGUAACACGUGGGUGACCUGCCUUCGAGUGGGGGAUAACGUCCCGAAAGGGACGCUAAUACCGCAUGACAUCCUGCUCUUGGAAGAGUGGAGAUCAAAGCCUGGGAUCGCAAGACCUGGCGCUUGAAGAGGGGCCCGCGCCUGAUUAGCUAGUUGGUGGGGUAACGGCCUACCAAGGCGACGAUCAGUAUCCGGCCUGAGAGGGCGGACGGACACACUGGGACUGAGACACGGCCCAGACUCCUACGGGAGGCAGCAGUGGGGAAUUGUUCGCAAUGGGCGCAAGCCUGACGACGCAACGCCGCGUGGAGGACGAAGAUCUUCGGGUCGUAAACUCCUGUCGAGCGGGAAGAACGCUUCCCGGGUGAAUAAUCCGGGGAAUUGGCGGUACCGCUAAAGGAAGCCCCGGCUAACUCCGUGCCAGCAGCCGCGGUAAUACGGGGGGGGCAAGCGUUGUUCGGAAUUACUGGGCGUAAAGGGCUCGUAGGCGGCCAACUAAGUCGGAUGUGAAAUCCCCAGGCUUAACCUGGGAANNNCAUCCGAUACUGGAUGGCUUGAAUCCG
rnacentral:rRNA from 1 species